UACAGAGGUCCCAAGCGUUGUUCGGAUUCAUUGGGCGUAAAGGGUGUGUAGGCGGCGCGGGAAGUCGAGUGUGAAAUCUCGGAGCUUAACUCCGAAACUGCAUUCGGUACUGCCGUGCUUGAGGACUGGAGAGGAGACUGGAAUUUACGGUGUAGCGGUGAAAUGCGUAGAUAUCGUAAGGAAGACCAGUGGCGAAGGCAGCUCUCUGGGUCCCUACCGACGCUGGGGUGCGAAAGCAUGGGGAGCGAACAGG
rnacentral:rRNA from 1 species